UGAAUACGAGACGCUAAGGCGUCGAAGUAGUGUAUGUCAGACUUCCAAGAAAAGCUCGCACUGUCAUAGGUGAAAAAUGCCUGUACCAUAACCGACACAGGUGGGUAGGUAGAGUAUACUAAGGGGCGCGAGAUAACUCUCUCUAAGGAACUCGGCAAAAUGACUCCGUAACUUCGGGAGAAGGAGUGCCUUAUUUAUAAGGUUGCAAUAACAAGAUCCAAGCAACUGUUUACCAAAAACACAGGUCUCCGCUAAGUCGUAAGACGAUGUAUGGGGGCUGACGCCUGCCCAGUGCCAGAAGGUUAAAGAAGUUGGUUAGCAUUAGCGAAGCUGAUAACUGAAGCCCUGGUGAACGGCGGCCGUAACUAUAACGGUCCUAAGGUAGCGAAAUUCCUUGUCGGGUAAGUUCCGACCCGCACGAAAGGCGUAAUGAUUUGGAUACUGUCUCGGAGAGAGGCUCGGUGAAAUAGACUUGUCUGUGAAGAUGCGGACUACCUGCACCUGGACAGAAAGACCCUAUGAAGCUUUACUGUAACUUGAAAUUGAAAUUGGACUUUAGUCGCGCAGCAUAGGUGGGAGGCGUUGAGAAUAUUCUUGCGGGAAUAUAGGAGCCAUCAGUGAGAUACCACUCUUCUAAUGUUAGAUUUCUAACCUUGCACCAUUAUCUGGUCAAGGAACAGUUUCAGGCGGGCAGUUUGACUGGGGCGGUCGCCUCCCAAAUGGUAACGGAGGCGUACAAAGGUUUCCUCUGAACGGAUAGAAAUCGUAUCUAGAGUAUAAAGGCAUAAGGAAGCUUGACUGUGAGACCUACAAGUCGAGCAGGGACGAAAGUCGGUCUUAGUGAUCUGACGGUACUGAGUGGCAAGGCCGUCACUCAACGGAUAAAAGUUACUCUAAGGAUAACAGGCUGAUCUCCCCCAAGAGUUCACAUCGACGGGGAGGUUUGGCACCUCGAUGUCGGCUCAUCGCAUCCUGGGGCGGUAGUACGUCCCAAGGGUUGGGCUGUUCGCCCAUGAAAGCGGUACGCGAGCUGGGUUCAGAACGUCGUGAGACAGUUCGGUCCAUAUCCGGUGUAGGCGUUAGAAUAUUGAGAGGAGCCUUCUUUAGUACGAGAGGACCGAGAAGGACAUACCUCUGGUGUACCAGUUAUCGUGCCAACGGUAAACGCUGGGUAGCUAUGUAUGGAGUGGAUAACCGCUGAAAGCAUCUAAGUGGGAAGCCCACCUCAAGAUGAGUAUUCUCAUCACGUAAGUGAGUAAGGUCACGGUAAGACUAACCGUUUGAUAGGCAUUAAGUGUAAGCGCAGUAAUGCGUGUGCUGAGAUGUGCUAACAGACCGAGGACUUGU
rnacentral:rRNA from 1 species